ensembl:lncRNA
AACAACUCCACCUCAUUGUUUCCCUCCUCCAUUUGCCCAUUGUAUUGUACAUUUCAAUGUUCUUCCAAAUUACUACCUGUCUCCGACCUGUCUGUGCUAUGUACGUAUGGUCGGGGGGUCCAAUUCCACUGCAGGUGCAAACUUGCAUGUGACAAAUAAAAGGUCUGAUUGAUUGAUAUUUACGUGUUACCAUAGCGACCAGAGACCCUUAAGGGGCAGAGAGGAGGAUGUUACUCUCAUUGUUGUUGGCGUAUCUCAGGAGGACGCUGCUAAUAAAGUUACACAAUUACACAGUGAAUUCGCGUUUAUUAUUAUAUUUACAAAAUACCACUGUCUUGGUCGUAUCAUUUUAUUUUGUUGUAUUUAUCCGUGACACCUUAAUGGUCGGUGAAAAUAUUGUCGGACAUUAAACCGGUCCAUGCCGCAAAAAAGGUUGGGGGCUGCUGCUGCUGAGAAAUAAACACUCGUGCAACGGUAGAUGGCAUACAAGCUUUUAAAAAGUAUGCUCAGGUGACUUGAGCCGCCACACGGUUUCCGUAGCGUAGUGGUUAUCACGUUCGCCUAACACGGAAACAUUAUGUGUUUAUUUUAUUUCACUUUAUUUUUUUCAUUUAUUUGUCUUCUUGAAGUAACCAAACCAUAUGCCAUGCAGUCGUGUGGUCUUGGCGCGUUGUGGGUAACAAGUGAAACAAAUAUAAACUGACUGUGUGAAAACUGAAUUGUCCGAUAUGUCCCUGAACGCGACCCGUACUCAGGAAGCACGCAUGUGUCGCUGCAGCUGUUGUUUAGCGCCGUGUUGCAGUACGUGCUUUAAAAAAAACUAUGCAGCCACAGACUUUCUAACUCUCACCAACUACCGAUGUGUUUGUUUUCUGCUUCAGCUGUGGACUGAGAAGAUGUGGCAGUGAAGAUGAUGCCUUCAGAUAAUAUCUUGGUUUUCUCUACAAGAAAGCUGACUAGGAGUCUAGCCAGGUGCCUGAGCAAGGACCAGGGUUUUUGACACAAUCUUAGCAGUUUCUAAUGACUUUGGGCUUUAAAUGUCAAUAUGGACGGCAUUGAUGAAAGCUACAUCUGGGAGCGCCGCAUUGCCCAUGGCAUUAGGUAUCAAAGAGGAGCAGUCCCCUUCCCAGAAUCGGUUGAUAUUGGUCUGGAGUUCAAUGCGGCACUUGAAAGGAAGGAGAAGCUGGAUCAGAGCCUGCUGACGAAUAGUGUUAUGCUGGAAAUUUGUCAGUUUGCCAAAACGGUGACCAGGUCUGAGAAGUAUUUCUUGUUCGAAAUGCUGGAGUUCAACUUCGACCUUGGCUUUGACAUAAACAAUGACAGUCUGUGCUACAUCUAUGCAGUUCGUGUCCACAACAGAAUUAAGCACCUGAAGGAGCAAAUAAAGAUGAAGCCAAAUAGAUGGAAAGAAACAUUUCAGUUGCCAGAUCCAAGUGUUUUAGCCGGGUCCAAAGAAGACGUGUCAGGACGAUACUGUCCAAAAUGGAACAAAAUUGCUGAUAGUUCAGUGCUCACUGUCUCCAGCAAGAACUGCCAGUCUUCAGACAACCACGAAGCUGAAACUACCAGAGUUGCUAGCAAUAAAUACACUGCAAAACAACAAGGAGGAAUCCGUUUAAGAAAAACACAGGGCGCUAACCCUUUCUGUGCACAGCUUGGUGUGACCCUAGCUAUUCGACCAAGUCACGCCCCCAAACAGAAGUUGGACCCAAGUCUGCUCAUCAAUGGCAAAGGAUGCAAGUCAGGAAUCAUACUGGUGUCUGUUCUCUGAGGGAAGAUGUGCAGAAACCUCAAAGCAGAGGCUGUGGCUGAGGCGCGCUGCUCGCACAAAACAGAUCCUGACAUCGAGCCGAGUGAAUGACAUGUUCGCCCAUUGCAGAGAGAUCGGAUUAGACUUCAACUUUUGUUCACCAAAACGGAGCUUAGAUCUACAACUGUUGAGCAACUGGGUGAUGUGGGAGGUUUUCAAGUUUGGAACUGCUUUGUUGAGGAGUGUACGCAGUUUUUUAUUUGAAAUUCUCUUAAACAACUUUACUCUUACGCUCCAAGAUGAGCAACAUGAGCGCAAUUUCUUAGUUUACAUGAUGGCAAAACAUAAAAAUCUUGUGAGCCACCCAAAGAGUCAGAAUAUGGAUUUUCUCUGCAAGCCUUUCAAACUUCCUGAGAUUUACCACAUGGUUGAUGUGACCAGCAAUUUUCAGACUCAACAGGAACUCCAGAGUCAAGGGCAGGAAGGGUUAGAUUCAUCAGAUUCAGCAAAGAGUGAAGAAGCUGAAAAAGAAAAACACCCUUUCUGUAAAAAGUUGGGUCUAAACCUUUGGUCAACCAAAGAACGCCCAUCAGACCAGAAGCUUGAUUUGACCGUCCUGACAACCGGCGCUGUGCUUGAGAUCUUCAGCUUUGUAAAGGAGCUGUGUGGUGAGGCCCGCAAUACUGUUAAUGACAUUCUUGAGCACAAUUUUGAUCUUGAUCUUCAAAGUGGUGAGACUGAGGCUGCGCAGAAGAUCCAGAGAUGGUACACAACACAGAAAAGCUUGAUGAAAAAGCAAAACAUGUCACCGAAAAUCAACAGGUGGUUAAAUAUGAUCGUCCCGCUGAAUGGCAACUUGCAAGAGAUUCCACACUCACCAACUGAAGAUGGGGACCCAGAUCUAGAAGGGGAGCUGGAUGGCUUUGGUGGAUUUGUCAAAUGCUUUGACUACCAGAACUGCAAGGAGAUCGGACUGGACCUCGACCCCAGCUCCAAAUCAGAAACCAAAACAAAACUUGAUUUGCAAGUUCUGACAAGAGGAGUUUUGUUUGAGGUGCACCAAUAUGUGCAGCAAAACUACAACCGAUAUGUUCCUGCUCUGUAUGAGAUUCUGGAGUACAACUUUGAUCUGAGCUCUCAGAGCCACCGGAAGGUGGAGUUCGCCUGGUCCAUCGCCUCACAGGUCAUAGCCAUGACUGGCAAAAAACGCAGAAAAGGGGAUUACCUGAACAAAGUUUUUGAGCUCCCUUUCGAGGUCUCCAAGUUCCCUGAGUCUUCCCAGGUGGUCUUUAAAGAGGAGCCGGAGGAUGACUUUGGCGAGCCGGACCUUAAUAAUGACAAUGAUGACAUUGUGUUUGUCCGAAAACUGAAGCCUGUUGAUAUGGAAGUCGAGAUAGAAUAAAGUCCUAGCUGCUGUUUGUAUUUUAAAUGUCAGUUUUCAGGAUAGAGCUGCAACUGAAUCGCUUUAUAUCUACUUAAACCAGUUAAAUUUACCUUUACCCAUUUAUAUAGAAAUGGGGAUCCUCUUCCUGUUUCUGUUCAGCGUGUGCCUAAAAUCCAGCUUGACCUUAACCCUGGUGGACAUAAAGAAGAUGAGAGUGAUCGAUUUUUGUUUUGGUCUAUAAAGUGUCAAAAAACAACUCUCGUAAUCUUUUUUUUUUUCUUUUUUAACUGUUGACAUCUUGGAUUACUUGUGUUCUAGCAAAUGUCUUUUAACUCAAAGAAGAAAUACUCGCAUUCAAUCAUGAAGGCCAAAUAAAUAUCUCAGAUGUGCUGCAGAUGUUUACAGGGGGCAGGAAAAAUAAAGAUUAAACUUUGUUCUCAAGUUAGUGAAUGUUAUUGCCCACCAGAUCCAGCUGUGUCUCUGGAAGUGGGGUCUUUGCAGUCUCGAUUACAACGAAAGACAAUAAAGGUUCUAAAAUGUGAACGACGUGUUACUGCUGGGCCUCCUCGACUCCACUGUGGUUCAGUGCUGCUUUAUUCACAGUAGAGUUCUUUUGCUUAUAAUUAUGUGUGUUACGACUGGAGUGUAACAAAAAAGUUGUGCCACUUUUUUUCUCCAAACAAGGAAGUAGACUAUCCACGUUAAUGUUAACCGGUAGAAAUUCAACCCUCAGUGAUGUGAGUUAAAGAGGACAGAAUGAAUGGUCAAGGCUGCCAUAUUGGUAUUUAAUUGUUUUGACUGAUUCGUGAUGUCAACUCCAUCAUUUAAUAAAAUGUGAAAGAAAAC